rnacentral:tRNA from 2 species
GCACUAGUAGCUCAGCUUCAGAGCGUCGGUCUUGUAAGCCGAAGGUCGAAGAUUAAAUUUCUUCCUACUGCC